UGGACAGAUUAUUGUAUUCGACUGUAUUCACAGCGUGAAACAGCACAUUACACUGUUUUUAAAUGGAAAGUGAAUCAAUUAACAUGAUAGACUCCU
rnacentral:pre_miRNA from 1 species